AGGUCAUCGUUCGUGGUGUGUCAAACAUCUGGGCUACGGAGCAGCGUCGUAUCCUGUGCCGAGAUGGAUCCGCGAAUUUGGCCGGGAUGUCUCUCUCUCUGCACUAGCGAUACCCGUACUCGAUGGAUUCGUCACGUAGAACGUCCCCGGAAUUAAUCGCUAUGACCGUAGCUGGCAAUUAUCAUGCGAGUUGUAGCCAACGAAAGCGAUAUCGAUCCACAGCACUCCCUGUUGUUCGCAGCAAUCUUCACCGGCUAGAGCUCCGUUCCAGGCGGGCUACCCACUGGUUAUUGGGACCGCCUCGGGCGCACCAUGGAACGUCGAAAAAGGGAUCCACUGGACCGAUUUUUGAAGGCUGGGCACAUAAACAUUAAUGAGACCAUGAUUGACCGUUCGGGCAGCCCAGGAACAUGCUACGUUAGCCGUGCUGGAGGCGCCAGGUACUUCACGGCUCAUGGAAUGUAUUUCGUCAGUUGGCGCCAGGGAUAUUGUUUGAAGGAUGCUUGUUUCAAAACGUUUGUCCCUCCAUUACGUGAUUAGAGGUUAGACUUCUCUUUGCUUCUACUUUCAUACAGCAAUGAACACGCAAUGAACAGAGCUACUACUUUACUUAGAGUGUUUAUAAUGGUUUGGGUUAUUGGAAUGUUUUCCAUUUAUCGAAUAAUAGCGCCAUUAAAGGGCUAGA